AUUUUGUUGUGUUUUUUAUUCUGUUUAUUGUAAUUUAUCUGGGCUUGGCCCCAUGUAAGCCGCCCCGAAUCCCCUCAGGGAGAUGGAGGUGGGGUACAAAAAUAAAGUUAUUAUUGACACAACAACAUUGUAUGACACAGCAAACAAGAUAGAUAUGAUGGAUUUCGUAUCACAAAAUCACAAGUCAAACACUUCCCAAGUGUCUAGGACUGUGUGAUGUAUUUUCAGAUGAUGGGCGCAGAUCCCAGUAGGGUGGCCUUUUGCAGUUGGCAGAUUGUAAUUUUGUCCAUGUCUAUUGUUUCCAAAUGCUGGCUGAGAUCUUUUGGCAUGGCACCCAGUGUGCCAAUCACCACCAGGACCACCUGUACUGGUUUCUGCCAGAGUCUUUGAAGUUCAAUCUUGAGGUCCUGAUAGCGGCUGAGUUUUUCCUGUUGUUUUUCAUCAAUGCGACUGUCACCUGGGAUGGCGACAUCAAUGAUCCAAACCUUUUUCAAUUGGCCGUCUGCAAGGACGUUGCCUAGGGGAUGCCCGGAUGUUUUGAUGUGUUUACCAUUCUUGUGUGAGGUUUCUCUCAUGUCCCCGCAUGGAGCUGGAGCUGAUAGAGGGAGCUCAUCUGCGCUCUCCCCGGGUUGGAUUUGAAUCUGGCAGCCUUCAGAUCGGCAACCCAACCUUCAAGUCAAGUCACAGGUUGGGAGAUACACUUAGGGCCCUUCCACAUAGCCAUAUCACCCAGAAUAUCAAGGCAGAUAAGACACAAUAUCUGCUUUGAGUUGAGUUAUCUGAGUCCACACUACCAUAUAACCCAGUUCAAUCUGGAUUUUAUACAGCCGUGUGGAAGGGGAUUUAGAUCUCUUGAAUCUUGUGCAUUUUAUCCCCUAACCUUAUGAGCCUUAAUAGGGGACUUGGACAAGUUAUCUUUCGGGCCAACCUGUUUCAGCCAUUUGUGAUGAAUAUGAAGUAAGAAAAAUGAAGUCAGUCCUGACCUCACCUCCUUGAAGGAAAGAGAGGCAAGUGUGUGGUAAUUACCAGAGCUUAUAAUGUUAAGUUUGAAAAUUAAUUCAAGAAAGUUAACUGUGAGAAAUUGGGAUAUUAAUUCAUGAACAUAAACACUAAUGAUUGAAUUCAUUAAAUGGGUUGCAUUAUUGUUAAUUAUUCACAGAUUAAGCCAUUAACAUAGGGCAAAUGAUGGCAUUUAAAGAAAGUGGCAUAGGGGGUGUCAUUUUUGACCUCAUGGAAGCAAACUUUGUUUCUUCAAAAGGUUACUUUGUUUCCUUUCAAAGUUGCUUUUCUUCAGUCUGGCAUUUUUUUCCCCGCAAGGACUAAAAAUGGUCUAGGAACUGUCAGGUCAGAAAAGGAUAUCUCAAAUAUAGCAUUUAAUCUUAAAACUUCUUCCAGCAGUCGUCUGUAUCUCUUUUGUCUUUUCACCCCACAAUAGAAUAA
rnacentral:lncRNA from 1 species